rnacentral:rRNA from 1 species
GCGCACCAGGCGCGAAACCUCCGCAAUGCGCGAAAGCGCGACGGGGUUACCCCGAGUGCCGUCCGCUGAGGACGGCUUUUGCCCAGUGUAGCCAGCUGGGCGAAUAAGGAGAGGGCAAGUCUGGUGUCAGCCGCCGCGGUAAUACCAGCUCUCCGAGUGGUGGGGACGCUUAUUGGGCCUAAAGCAUCCGUAGCCGGUCUGGCAAGUCCCUUGUUAAAACCAACGAUUCAAUCGUUGGACUGCAAGGGAUACUGCCAGACUAGGGGGCGGGAGAGGCCGACGGUAUUCCCGGGGUAGGGUGAAAUCCUAUAAUCCCGGGAGGACCACCAGUGGCGAAGGCUGUCGGCUAGAACGCGCCCGACGGUGAGGGAUGAAAGCUGGGGGAGCGAACCGGAUUAGAUACCCCUGUAGUCCCUGAGACUCCA